GGAGGGUUGACUGGCUGACUUUCAAGGUUCCUUUUUAUAGUAAACACGAAAUGACUUCUCUAGCUUACUGGAGGCCCUUUGAAUGUUCUGGGCUGUAACAAGCUUCUGAGUCAGCACAUCUUGAAGAGUACCGCAGAGCUGAUUGUGCAUGGAUUGCUUCUGAGUGUCCCUUGUCUCUUUCAGGUGUGUUCCUUGCCUCCCCCACAAUCAUGGAGGAAGGAAAAGAAAGAGGGCUGAGCCAGCUGCUGCGAAAGCCCCUCACAUAUUCCUUAGGGCAGCCCUUGGGAGCAGGUGGCAUGGUCCCAUUUUCCAGAUGAGGAAAUUGAGCUUAGGAAGUCGCCUGCUCAGUUAGCCAGUUGGCAUGGGAUGGAGCUGAGAUCUGAGCCUGUGAAAGGGGCUGGGGGUGGAGAGGUAAACAUAAAAACAGCCAAGACCAGAACACUCUUCUUCUUCUUUUUUUUUUUUUUUUUUUUUUUGAGACAAAGAUUCACUCUGUAGCCCAGGCUGGAGUACAGUGGUGCCAUCUCGGCUCACUGCAACCUCCGCUUCCCGGGUCUCAAUUCAAGCAGUUCUCCUGCCUCAGUCUCCCGAGUAGCUGGAAUUGCAGGCAUGCACCACCAUGCCCAGCUAGUUUUUGUCUACAGGGUAAGCAGUACCUGGGUGUGGAGAGCCCAGAGUUCCGUUAACUUCCCCAAAUUUUACACAUCUGUGAUGACUUGGCCCAUCACUGCCCCUCCAAAAACUCUGAGACCUGUGUUCUCAUUUGGCAAUGCCUGCUCCUCCGUCCUUGCGAAGCUGUACUCCACACCCCAAAUUCAUGUGUUGAAGCCCUAACCCCAAGGGGUAAUUAAAUUAGUUCGGCCAGGCACAGUGGCUCACACCUGUAAUCCCAACACUUUGGGAGGCCAAGGUGGGUGGAUCACUUGAGGUCAGGAGUUCAAGACCAGCCUGACCAACAUAGCAAAACCCCGUCUAGAGCGAGACUUCAUGUCAAAAAAAAAGUCAUUAGGAUGAACCUUUAUCCAGUCAGACUGAUAUCCUUAUAAGAGAAGAUUCAGACACAGAGACACACACAAAUACAACCCCUUCACCCCGACACCCCAAACAGGGGAUGCAUGAGAUAAACUGAGACCCCCUCACUGCAGCUUAGAGCUGUGCAUGAAAAAUAAUGGGUGAAUGAAAUUGGCUGAAUGAAUUGGUUUUUCUUUAAUGUGGUGCAGGGAAAAUGAACAAAUUGCAACCCCUGAAUGAUUUCUGCAGAGAAAGAGAAAGAGAAGGCUGGAUCUUUAGCGGGAUGAAGAGAUUGGACUAUAAGCUGAUACCACAAGAGAGGUAGAUGGCCCCAGAAUGCUCCACCUAUCAGGUUAUCAAGAUUUUCCCUUCACCAGUCAGUCUGCAAAUAAGAAACUCUCCCUCCUUCCAAAGAGAGCUGGCCAUGUGACCAACCGCCACCCUGCCCACAGCCAGAGGAAUUCCCUCUGGGCUCCUGACCCUAGCAAAGCCCAUCAAUAGGCUCCUGCCAGUGACUCUGCAGAUCAGGGAUGACAGUGGCCGAUGGGCUCCUUCUGGCCCUUUCUCAGGAAGUUUGGCAGUAAAAUAGAGAAGAGACAGUGUGAGUAUAUUCAUUUCCUGGGACUGCCAGGAGCUACCACAAACUGGUAGCUUCAACACCA
rnacentral:lncRNA from 10 species